rnacentral:tmRNA from 1 species
GGGGGCGACCUGGAUUCGACGUGGGUUACGAAACCUGCGGGUGCAUGCCGAGGUGGCAGCGUUGCCUCGUUAAUCCCACAGCUGCAUUGAAAUAGUUGCCAACGACGACAACUACGCACUGGCUGCUUAAGCCCAGCCAGCUACCGCUCAGUGCUCGCCUGCGGGCCUGAACCGGUAGUCACUCACGCAGGACCGCGUCCGGGGAUGUCCACCACCCGGGCGUCAAAUCAAAGUGGACUCGCCUUCUGCAUCCCUGUCUGCCGGGUGGCAGAAGGUCAAACUCAAUAGACAGACUAAGCAUGUAGUACCCGAGGCAGAGGACCCGCGGACGGGGGUUCGAUUCCCCCCGCCUCCACCA